GACGAACGCUGGCGGCGUGCCUAAUACAUGCAAGUUGAGCGAUGAAGCUUGGUGCUUGCCCCAAUUUGAAGAGCAGCGAACGGGUGAGUAACGCGUGGGGAAUCUGCCUUUGAGCGGGGGACAACAUUUGGAAACGAAUGCUAAUACCGCAUAAUAACUUUAAACAUAAGUUUUAAGUUUGAAAGAUGCAAUUGCAUCACUCAAAGAUGAUCCCGCGUUGUAUUAGCUAGUUGGUGAGGUAAAGGCUCACCAAGGCGAUGAUACAUAGCCGACCUGAGAGGGUGAUCGGCCACAUUGGGACUGAGACACGGCCCAAACUCCUACGGGAGGCAGCGGUAGGGAAUCUUCGGCAAGGGACGAAAGUCUGACCGAGCAACGCCGCGUGAGUGAAGAAGGGUUUCGGAUCGUAAAACUCUGUUGGUAGAGAAGAACGUUGGUGAGAGUGGAAAGCUCAUCAAGUGACGGUAACUACCCAGAAAGGGACGGCUAACUACGUG
rnacentral:rRNA from 1 species